UACGAAGGGGGCUAGCGUUGCUCGGAAUGACUGGGCGUAAAGGGCGCGUAGGCGGUUCGUACAGUCAGACGUGAAAUUCCCGGGCUCAACCUGGGGGCUGCGUUUGAUACGUACGGGCUUGAGUUCGGAAGAGGGUCGUGGAAUUCCCAGUGUAGAGGUGAAAUUCGUAGAUAUUGGGAAGAACACCGGUGGCGAAGGCGGCGACCUGGUCCGAUACUGACGCUGAGGCGCGAAAGCGUGGGGAGCGAACAGG
rnacentral:rRNA from 1 species